CCUACGGGAGGCAGCAGUGAGGAAUAUUGGUCAAUGGCCGCAGGGCUGAACCAGCCAAGUCGCGUGAGGGAUGACGGUCCUAUGGAUUGUAAACCUCUUUUGUCAGGGAGCAAAGGGCGCCACGUGUCGCGCUUUGCGAGUACCUGAAGAAAAAGCAUCGGCUAACUCCGUGCCAGCAGCCGCGGUAAUACGGAGGAUGCGAGCGUUAUCCGGAUUUAUUGGGUUUAAAGGGUGCGCAGGCGGAAUGUCAAGUCAGCGGUAAAAUUUCGGGGCUCAACCCCGUCGUGCCGUUGAAACUGGCGUUCUUGAGUGAGCGAGAAGUAUGCGGAAUGCGUGGUGUAGCGGUGAAAUGCAUAGAUAUCACGCAGAACUCCGAUUGCGAAGGCAGCAUACCGGCGCUCAACUGACGCUCAUGCACGAAAGCGUGGGUAUCGAACAGGAUUAGAUACCCCAGUAGUC
rnacentral:rRNA from 1 species